GUUGUGGUGCUGCAAGUUUUUUGAUUUGUUUUUAUAUUAUUUUUUGUAAAAUAUUUUAAUUUUUUUAUAGUUUUUUGCAGUAUCAAAAAUUUGUUUUUUGAACUGGAUUAGUACCCAGGUAAUCAAAAUUUAAUAAUUCGGGAGUAAAGUUUUAUUUAAACCGAAAAAAUAUUGACUGACUUUAGAUUUUUCUUUGGAAUAUGUGAUUUGCUGGAGAGCCCUCUUUUUUGGUGAAUUUUGUUGGCACAUGUAUGAUUGUUUAGUUUUUAUUUUAUUUUGUAAUGCUUUAAUGUUUUGGCAUUAAAAACAGAUAUAUAUUUGGCUUAUGGAUUUAUGUUUCAUGUGUUACUAUUAUAAAUUUUUUUUGGAUUAGUUUUUUAUUUUUUUUUGAAAUUGGAAAAGAAAGUAAUUUUUUCU
rnacentral:rRNA from 1 species